rnacentral:rRNA from 1 species
GACGAACGUUGGCGGCGUGCUUAAUACAUGCAAGUCAACUGAAGCAGUGGUAGCAAUAUCGCUGUGGAGGUGGCGCACGGGUGAGUAACACGUAGGUAAUCUGCCUUCAGGUCUGGCAUAACUCCGGGAAACCGGGGCUAAUAGCAGAUGAUGCAGCGGCUCGACAUCGAGACAGUUGUUAAAGCUAUGGCGCCUGAAGAUGAGCCUGCGUCUGAUUAGCUAGUUGGCGGGGUAACGGCCCACCAAGGCAACGAUCAGUAGCUGGUCUGAGAGGAUGAUCAGCCACACUGGAACUGAGACACGGUCCAGACUCCUACGGGAGGCAGCAGUAAGGAAUAUUGCUCAAUGGUAGAAAUCCUGAAGCAGCAACGCCGCGUGAGGGACGAAGGGCUUUUGCUUGUAAACCUCUGUAGUGAGAGAAAAAAAUCCCAAUCUUUGGGACAUGAUGGUAUCUCAAAAGUAAGCCCCGGCUAACUACGUG